rnacentral:lncRNA from 1 species
GCUGAUUAAAAGCACAGAUUUAUCCUUAUACUUUAAUAGAUGUAAACUGAUCACUGAUUCAAUGAAAUCAAACUAUUAAUUGUUUGUUCAAUUUCAGAAAAUGCCAUUGUUCAAAGGAAAAAGGAAAAGAGGACUGAAAUUGACUCUCUACAAAAAGCCAUGGAGAUACAAGUUAUCCCCGCCCUCGAAGCGAACUAAACCCUCUGGGAGUAGUCCUGUCGUCAAAUAUACGUCACAGAGAUCACCACAUAUAUCUAAGAAAAUUAUAUCGCCGAUGAAAACUUCGACACCUAUUAGACGAAAUCUGUUCGCCCAAAAUCACGAAAUAUUCGAAACAACAAAGGCAAAUAUACAGAAUUUAUUAUUCGCCAACAUUGAUGAAAGCAA